ensembl:lncRNA
AACAGUCAAUGGAGUGACCUAAUUACUGCAGGUGACACUCAUUACAGUAAUCAGCAAAUAGAGUGCAGGCAGGUGAAACAACUUGACUCUGUCUGUCAUCUCUCCUCGUUCCUGUCUCUUGCUCUCCCUGCUUCACCUGUCUGCACUCAGCUGAUUACUGCAGGUGAUUCACAUUGCAGUAAUCAGCUCACCUGCCCUCAAUAUCACCUGCUCACUAUUUAAACUCUGCUUAGUCACUCUUUGUCUGUUUGACCAUAAACUACUGGACGCCUGCUUCCCUCCAGGCUCAGAUUCCCACAAAGACUCACAUGGCUUCACACGCUCUGCUCCCUCAUGGACUCUGCUUCCCCACUUCUGGACUCCUUCCUUCGUUUACUUUUGUUAAUCCAGUUUAGUAUUGGUUGACUUCCGUUUCUGUAUUCAUAGCGUUUGCUGGGUUUUGAAUAGUUGGGUUUAGUUUUGUUUCCCCAGUUCAGCUCUCCAUUUAUGUACUAGUUUAGUUAUCUUUUAAAAUGAAACUCUUUCCAUUAUUCACCUGUCUGGAAGUCUCUCUGUGUCUGUGCCUGCGUUGUCCAACUCAGGGCCCAAACCGUCCCUUAAAUGACCCUGGGUCCGUUUCACGAAGCAGGUUCAACAAACUCUGUGUAACCCUGAACUCUGAGUUGAUCUACUCUGAGAUAGAAAACUCUGAGUUUUCGGUUUCACAACGGCUGAUUUGAGUUGGUUUAAUCAACUCGGAGUAGUUUCACCCAGAGUGCACCGCAACUAUAAAAAGACAGCAUCAAUGGAACCCCGAUUCGACGACUCACCAUGGCAACGGGGAAGCAGAGAGCUACGUUUUUUUUUACACCACUUGAAUUGGACAUCUUAAUGCGUUCAUAUGGCGACUUCGAACACGUUUUUAGAAAGAAGUGCAGCACCUGCAGCUGCAAAAGAGAGUGAGACGGCCUGGGAGAACAUUGCUGCCCGAGUCAAUGCGUAAGUUUAAAUCACAAUAAUAUUACAGGAAAACUGUUUAAUAGCAGCCUAUUCUGUUAUUUCAUUUAGGUGCAAUCCUGUGGGGGAGAAGCGCAUGUGGCAGCAGCUGAAGAUGAAAUAUAAGAACAUUGUUCAAACGGCCAACAGAAAGAAAGCAGAUGCCUGUAAAAAGGGAGGAGGCCCAGCACCACCACUUGUAACGGAGGCAGAGGAGCUGGUCCUAAGCCAGAAUUUGGGAAGGCCAGUGGCUGAGGGAAUCCCUGGAGAGAGCUCAUCCUGAGACCACAUCCCAAGACACAGGUGCUUUUAUAAAAGUGGAAGCUGAAUUAGUGAGGAAGACUCCUGCUCCUGUCAUCUCUAAGCUCCUCACACAUCUUUACCUGCACAUGAGGAAAAUCACUCCUGUAGAAUGCAGGUAUGUUUGUCAUUAUUAUAAAAAGAUGUUGCCUGGUGACCUGUCAGAAACCCAU